CAGAAAGUGAACCAAGACAAAUACUUCAUGUAGUGCAGUAUGUCCACACAGAGCUGAAAAACAUAUCUUUUGUGUUUCACAGAAUCCCUAAAAUUGAAGUAAACUUAAAACAGCCUACAAGGGAAAUACUGUCAACUAAGGGAAAACUGGUAACUGCUCCUGAAUUCUGCUUUCCAACGCAUGGCUGGCCCCUCUCCUCCUGGCUCCUACCCGGACCUCUCCAGCGGGCCCACCUCACCAUGGGGAAAUGCUGACGGCACUCAGUUCCUGAGGACGGGACUUUGGGAGAUCAGCUAAUUUGGUAUCCUGAAACUGAAGCUUCCUCAGAACUUUGACAGAUCCAGUAGUUUGUACAAGAUCAUGAAUUACAUAAAAUCAUUUUUAUUCUUAUGAUUAUUAUUUUUCCUGUUUAUCCAAUGGCUAUCAAAGUAAAAUAUUCACUUUGCGUGCUCCAUUGAAAAUGUACUGCCUAUUCAUUGCUGCUCUUAUCAGUAUUUUCCAUGAAUCCAGUUUAGAAAUAAAAUGUACUAUUGUUGUUUUUCCUUGUAUUUGUUUUUGAUAUUGUAAUUGGAGCCUAUUCAAAAGGAAGAAGGAGACCAAGCAUUGUCUGAACA